AACAGGAUUAGAUACCCUGGUAGUCCACGCCGUAAACGAUGAGUGCUAGGUGUUGGGGGUUUCCGCCCUCUGUGCCGAAGGUAACCCAAUAAGCACUCCGCCUGGGGAGUACGGCCGCAAGGCUGAAACUCAAAGGAAUUGACGGGGGCCCGCACAAGCGGUGGAGCAUGUGGUUUAAUUCGAAGCAACGCGAAGAACCUUACCAGGUCUUGACAUCCCGCUGAUCGGUGUAGAGAUAUGCCUUUCCUUCGGGACAGCGGUGACAGGUGGUGCAUGGUUGUCGUCAGCUCGUGUCGUGAGAUGUUGGGUUCAGUCCCGCAGCGAGCGCAACCCUUGUCGUCAGUUGCCGGCACGUAAAGGUGGGCACUCUGGCGAGACGGCCGGUGAAAGCCGGAGGAAGGUGGGGAUGACGUCAAAUCAUCAUGCCCCUUAUGUCCUGGGCUACACACGUGCUACAAUGGCCGGUACAACGGGUAGCGAACCCGCGAGGGGGAGCCAAUCCAAAAAACCGGUCUCAGUUCGGAUCGCAGGCUGCAACUCGCCUGCGUGAAGCUGGAAUCGCUAGUAAUCGCGGAUCAGCAUGCCGCGGUGAAUCCGUUCCCGGGCCUUGUACACACCGCCCGUCACACCACGAGAGUCUGCAACACCCGAAGUCGGUGAGGUAACCUUCGGGAACCAGCCGCCGAAGGUGGGGCAGAUGAUUGGGGUGAAGUCGUAACAAGGUAACC
rnacentral:rRNA from 1 species